UACGUAGGUGGCAAGCGUUGUCCGGAUUUACUGGGUGUAAAGGGCGUGUAGCCGGGCUGACAAGUCAGAUGUGAAGUCCGGGGGCUCAACCCCCGAACUGCAUUUGAAACUGUUGGUCUUGAGUAUCGGAGAGGCAGGCGGAAUUCCUAGUGUAGCGGUGAAAUGCGUAGAUAUUAGGAGGAACACCAGUGGCGAAGGCGGCCUGCUGGACGACAACUGACGGUGAGGCGCGAAAGCGUGGGGAGCAAACAGG
rnacentral:rRNA from 1 species